GCUCAUCAAGCUCAAGGUCGAGAAUGGGAAAGUGAUCAGCCACCAAGACUUGUGGCAUAAGCAGCCAUUAAAAUCGAGAGACACAGUGAAGCUCCCGCUGGUGGGACGAUUGGCCGAAUCGGUGAGACGAGGAAACAUGAU